GUCGCACGAGAAAGUGGAGCAAUCCAUGAGUAGAGUGGCGUACGGGUGAGUAACACGUGGAUCAUCUGCCUCUUAGUGGGGAAUAACCCUGGGAAACCGGGGCUAAUACCGCAUAAGCUCGAGAGAGGAAAGCAGUAAUGCGCUGAGAGAGGAGUCCGCGGCCGAUUAGCUAGUUGGCAGGGUAAAAGCCUACCAAGGCAAAGAUCGGUAGCCGGCCUGAGAGGGCACACGGCCACACUGGCACUGAAACACGGGCCAGACUCCUACGGGAGGCAGCAGUGGGGAAUCUUGCACAAUGGGGGAAACCCUGAUGCAGCGACGCCGCGUGAGCGAUGAAGCCCUUCGGGGUGUAAAGCUCUUUCGGCAGGGAAGAUGAUGACGGUACCUGCAGAAGCAGCUGCGGCUAACUACGUGCCAGCAGCCGCGGUAAUACGUAGGCAGCAAGCGUUGUUCGGAGUUACUGGGCGUAAAGGGUGUGUAGGCGGUUGUUUAAGUUUGGUGUGAAAUCUCCCGGCUCAACUGGGAGGGUGCGCCGAAUACUGAAUGACUCGAGUGCGGGAGAGGAGAGUGGAAUUCCUGGUGUAGCGGUGAAAUGCGUAGAUAUCAGGAGGAACACCGGCGGUGUAGACGGCUCUCUGGACCGUAACUGACGCUGAAACACGAAAGCGUGGGUAGCAAACAGGAUUAGAUACCCUGGUAGUCCACGCCCUAAACGAUGCAUAUUUUGGUGUGGGUCAUUCAGUUGAUCCGUGCCGGAGCUAACGCGUUAAAU
rnacentral:rRNA from 1 species